CCUAGGGAGGCUGCAGUGGGGAAUAUUGCACAAUGGGGGAAACCCUGAUGCAGCGACGCCGCGUGAGUGAAGAAGUAUCCCGGUACGUAAAGCUCUAUCAGCAGGAAAGAAAAUGACGGUACCUGACUAAGAACCCCCGGCUAACUACGUGCCAGCAGCCGCGGUAAUACGUAGGGGGCAAGCGUUAUCCGGAUUUACUGGGUGUAAAGGGGGCGUAGACGGCGCUGCAAGUCCGGAGUGAAAGCCCAUGGCUUAACCAUGGUACGGCUCUGGAAACUGUAGAGCUUGAGUGCGGGAGGGGCAGGCGGAAUUCCUAGUGUAGCGAUGAAAUGCGUAGAUAUUAGGAGGAACACCGGCGGCGAAGGCGGCCUGCUGGACCGUAACUGACGUUGAGGCUCGAAAGCGUGGGGAGCAAACAGGAUUAGAUACCCUUGUAGUC
rnacentral:rRNA from 1 species